UAGCGAUCAUGGAUUACCCAGAAAUAAAAACCACGAGAUCAGAAAGAGAGAAACCGACUUUAACAUAAUUUAUGCAUUUAAUUCGACACGACGAUAAGUCUAAGACGUCGUAUGAAACGAAGACGCGCUACAGACUGAGACGGUGUAUCCGCGUCUGACCAUAACGAAUUUAAUUCAUCAGACGACUUUAAUUCGUUUCAUACGAUGUACUACCGACGCAUGUAAUUCGUUCAAUUAAAAAUUGUCGACGAUAGUGCGACGUAUGAAACAGGCCUAGCCGGGCAUGUCAGUUGGUUGUUGGUGACAAGAGCUUUAGUGUGGUGUCGUAUGUAACUGAUUAGGG